CCUGCGGGAGGCAGCAGUGGGGAAUUUUGGACAAUGGGCGCAAGCCUGAUCCAGCAAUGCCGCGUGCAGGAUGAAGGCCUUCGGGUUGUAAACUGCUUUUGUACGGAACGAAACGGUCUGCCCUAAUACGGUGGGCUAAUGACGGUACCGUAAGAAUAAGCACCGGCUAACUACGUGCCAGCAGCCGCGGUAAUACGUAGGGUGCGAGCGUUAAUCGGAAUUACUGGGCGUAAAGCGUGCGCAGGCGGUUAUGUAAGACAGAUGUGAAAUCCCCGGGCUCAACCUGGGACCUGCAUUUGUGACUGCAUAGCUAGAGUACGGUAGAGGGGGAUGGAAUUCCGCGUGUAGCAGUGAAAUGCGUAGAUAUGCGGAGGAACACCGAUGGCGAAGGCAAUCCCCUGGACCUGUACUGACGCUCAUGCACGAAAGCGUGGGGAGCAAACAGGAUUAGAUACCCUGGUAGUCCACGCCCUAAACGAUGUCAACUGGUUGUUGGGUCUUCACUGACUCAGUAACGAAGCUAACGCGUGAAGUUGACCGCCUGGGGAGUACGGCCGCAAGGUUGAAACGUUAAAGGAAUUGACGG
rnacentral:rRNA from 1 species